rnacentral:misc_RNA from 1 species
GCUUCCCACCAUACAAAUACCUGAGUAGGCGGGAAUGUCAAAGGACCAUUUAUUUGAGCAACAUUAGAAUUCCAUAUAAGGGAGUAGGAAAGAACUGACAAAUUUAACUGGCACAGAGAUGGUAAAGCAGUCAACUUGACAAACAUCUGACUGAUUAAGAAAAAAAGCCAUUGUAACAUUUAAUGUUCUGGAACAGUAAAAAUGUGCAUAUACCAAAAAAAUGAGUCGUCAGUCUGAAAUUGUAUUGGAAUGAACAACUCUGAAAACCAGAGAUGAGCUCAAAACAUAUACUUCGUAUGACUUCAAACUGGAAGCCAAAUUCACAAAUCUAAAAGCUAGAUUAACUAUUUCUUUAGUAACUACAUGGAGAUGAAUCAAAUAUUAUUAUUAUGAUAACGAAGAUAAAAUUUACCAACUGAAGUUGGCUCCACUAGUAUCCCCAUAGGUUGCAAGUGGAGGUCACAGGUUCAAUGCCCAGACCCAAACCCUUUCUCUUCAAACAUUAAAAAGGUAAAACAUAGUUGAAGUCUCAAAAGAACUCUCAUCCUUGGAAAUAUGUGUAUGACAACAAGAAACCAGCCAACAUCCACGAGUUGGAACAGUGAGUUAGACUUGUGCACCAGUGUCUGAUAUUGGUACAUAUGUGCAACCAAUAUCUAUAUCCAAUUUUCCAUUAUGUUUCGUAUCCAUACACUUACUUAUGUAGAAGUGUUGGACACAGAUAUUUCAAGUUAUGGUGAAGUUUAAGUAGCAUAAUUGGGAACUUACAAUCAUCAAGUCAGUCCCACUACAAAAAGUUUCUUUAGAGCAGGAAAAUCUAGGUCAAAAUAGCAUCCAUGCAAGGUUUCUUAACAUAAAGCUAGAAAGAUCUAGCCAAGUUCUAUAGCUUCUAAAUUUUGCACCUUGACCAAGCGUGAACAAGGUAGCUCAACCAUCUACUCAGUUUUAUUUGUUGAAGGAGCCCUCAAGUGGCACCACAGCCACAAUGUGAGACCAUACUCUGUCCAUAACUAUAACUGUAAGCUAUCACCAUCAUCAAAUUUCUGCAACUCAAGACCUAUUUUCCAGAGACUCAAUACCUGAAGCAUUGCUCCGGG